AUAUGGGAGGUGCCUGCUGAUGACCGAUUACCUGCAGAUUCUAUCCCUCAGUCACUGAAAGCCAGCCACUGGGGCAAGAUGCCAGAGGCAAAAGGUGACAAGUCAGACAAUUCUCUGUACAGGAUUCCCCUACAACACAAGCACCGAGUGCAAGAGAAAAAAACACAUGUUAAGAAGCAAAGAGGACAGCCGACGCGAGCGAAGCAGUAAUUUCCAGGCCUUUAUCCGGAUGGCGCUGGAGACUCUGCUGGGUUCAUGCCGCAGGAAGCGCGGGAUCCGUCAUACGUCCGCAGACCACAUUCAGCCAGCUAAAACUUUAAUGUCUUGGCACAGACAAACGCUUCCUGUCAGGCCUUUCUUGUUGGUACGAUCUUCAAGGGGGCUCUGAGAAUGUGAGCGAAGAUAAACAAGAGUGAGUGAAUGACUGAUCACAAGCUACGUGCACAAGUCUCCUGUUUGUUUGUGAAAUUGCUUGGCUCUUGGAAUAAACAUUAUUUUACAAUG